AUCCAGACUCCUACGGGAGGCAGCAGUGGGGAAUAUUGCACAAUGGGGGGAACCCUGAUGCAGCGACGCCGCGUGGGCGAGGAAGUAUUUCGGUAUGUAAAGCCCUAUCGGCAGGGAAGAAGAAAUGACGGUACCUGAAUAAGAAGCACCGGCUAAAUACGUGCCAGCAGCCGCGGUAAUACGUAUGGUGCAAGCGUUAUCCGGAUUUACUGGGUGUAAAGGGGGCGCAGACGGCAGCGCAAGCCAGGAGUGGAAGCCCGGGGCCCAACCCCGGGACUGCUCUUGGAACUGCGCGGCUGGAGUGCAGGAGGGGCAGGCGGAAUUCCUGGUGUAGCGGUGAAAUGCGUAGAUAUCAGGAGGAACACCGGUGGCGAAGGCGGCCUGCUGGACUGCGACUGACGUUGAGGCCCGAAAGCGUGGGGAGCAAACAGGAUUAGAUACCCUCGUAAA
rnacentral:rRNA from 1 species